rnacentral:lncRNA from 1 species
GUGGGGCAGAGGCAGGAAGUGAGAGCAGUGCCUGCUUUGGGGAUCCAGCCAGUGGCACGGCCACUGUGCCCACCCUGCUUGCUGUGCUUUUGGAGGAGGCUCUGUGCAGGACCUCCCAGGGCCAUGUCCCUGGGGUCUGCCCUGCAUUGGGUGACCACCGAGGCCGACACUCCUGAUGGCUGGGCUUGGGACCCAUGAUGCGCACCUGGAUGCACCCCCACAGGAAGGGCCACAAGCCAGGAGACGCAGGAAGGUCCUCCUGUACCUGCAGGCUUGAGAGUGUCUGCUCCCGCUGCCUGGCCUCUCCCCGCUCCUGCGCCUGCUCUGAUCUUGGAACAGGGUUGGGCUCAGCUCGGUCACUGUCACAGCUCGGCCAGGAGUGCAAACGCUCUGGGCAGUGCUGACAUGCUAGCCCCCUGCUGCCUUGGCCCACUCUGGACUUUGGCCACCGUCAAGCGUGGGGGUGGAGGCUGAGUGGGAAGGAUGAGGGCAGCUCGGUGCUGGCCUGUAAGUGCCCCUUGGUGCGAGCAGCCUUGGUUUGAGCAGCCUUGGUGCCACGGACAGCAGCAGGAGGCCAACAGGCUCCUGGGCAGAAGGGGCAGGUCCCUGGUGAGGUCCCACCUUCAGGCCAGGGAGGGCCUCAAGGUUGGGGUCCAGGCUAACAGUCAUGGGGACCGGAGUGGGAACUUGUGGUGCCUUUUCCGGGCCCAUCCAUGCUGGCCAUGGACCAAACAGCACGCACUUCCUCCCCUCUGAGGCUCAUACAAAAACCCCGGGCUCAGCCAAAGCAGGGGACGGAGAGACAACAGGACUACCACCUGCAGAGGAGCUACCCUCUCUGCUGAGAACUGCAGAGAUGAUGGGAUGACCUACCUGCAAAGAGGAGCUUCCCACUCCAGGGUCUCCUCUCUGCUAAGAGCUAAACACUCAUCGAGACACCCUGGCUGCAGAAAGAGGGUCCCCUCUGAGCUGUUCUGUCCCUCAAUAAAGCUCUCCUUCGUCUUGCUCAUCCUCCACUUGUCUACAUACCUCAUUCUUCCUGGUUGCAGGACAAGAACUCAAGACCCACCUAAUGAUAAGGCUAAUAAAGCUGUAGCACAAACAAGG